GAUGAACGCUGGCGGCGUGCCUAAUACAUGCAAGUCGAGCGAACGGACGAGAAGCUUGCUUCUCUGAUGUUAGCGGCGGACGGGUGAGUAACACGUGGAUAACCUACCUAUAAGACUGGGAUAACUUCGGGAAACCGGAGCUAAUACCGGAUAAUAUUUUGAACCGCAUGGUUCAAAAGUGAAAGACGGUCUUGCUGUCACUUAUAGAUGGAUCCGCGCUGCAUUAGCUAGUUGGUAAGGUAACGGCUUACCAAGGCAACGAUGCAUAGCCGACCUGAGAGGGUGAUCGGCCACACUGGAACUGAGACACGGUCCAGACUCCUACGGGAGGCAGCAGUAGGGAAUCUUCCGCAAUGGGCGAAAGCCUGACGGAGCAACGCCGCGUGAGUGGUGAAGGCCUUCGGAUCGUAAAACUCUGUUAUUAGGGAAGAACAUAUGUGUAAGUAACUGUGCACAUCUUGACGGUACCUAAUCAGAAAGCCACGGCUAACUACGUG
rnacentral:rRNA from 1 species